UCCUAGGAACGGCAGGCACAUAUAAAUGGUGUGCACGUAGGACAGAUGAACAGACACGAACGCAGGGUAUGCUGUUGGCCCGAGUGAACUGUUAAGCUGUAUCGAAGAUGAGGCUAAUAUUCUUGUUCCUAUUUAUCGGGGUGUAUGCUGCCUGGGCAAGUCAAAGCAGUUCCAGAGGAGACAUUUGCAGCCUGCCUUUACCUCGCGGAGGCACUUGUAAUGAGAAACGCACAGUGUAUUUCCACAACAAGGGUGUGUGCUGGCCGAUUAUUUUCAGAGGAUGCAAACAUGAAGGUGGCAGAAACAAGUUCGAGACAUCAGAGGCCUGCAAACAGACAUGUAUCGAGCCUCUGAAUCCUGUUUGCAAGAAAGAGAAACCGUCAGGCUGCCGCAGACGCGGUAGAAGAAGAACGCGUUACUACUUCAACACCACAAGAGGACUCUGCAUGCCGUUCGAAACCUACUGUGCAAAAUUGAACGGCAACGACUUCGGCCAACUCCGCGACUGCAGUUCGAUUUGCACGGGGUACAUCGCUUCUUGAGCUGCCCCUAAUUACCAAGUGGAAGCAGACAAGCGAAGCCUGGUGGUUGCACUUUGGACGACGGCACAUUUUCUUUGGGUUUCUCUUUUGAAGAAUAAGCUGUUUUUAAACUACAAUAACCAACUAUAAUAAAGAUAAGACGUUGCGCUUUCCA